rnacentral:lncRNA from 1 species
CUGCAUCAAGGUUGCACUUGACGAAAUUUAGCGGCGGAGGUUGCCAUGGUGUAACUUGGACCUGUUGUUGUCGUGGGUGGGCUAUGUCAGCUGGUUGACGCGCCUGCUGUCAGGCCUGGAGGGUACCAUUGGCGCGGCCAAUUACCUGUGUCGUGCUCUCAGUUUUCUGCUCCCAUAAUCGCAAGUUUCUUUUGCGCCAUAAACUCCAAGAUGUCAUAGCAAAAGAAACCAAUUGUUGAGUGGUGAAAUUGUGCCAAAUACGUU